rnacentral:tRNA from 1 species
GAGAAGUUAACUUUAUAGAGAAAGUUUAUGUUUUGAAACCAUAUUAAAAGAGUUCAAUUCUCUUACUUCUUC